rnacentral:rRNA from 1 species
AGUGAACGCUGGCGGUAGGCCUGACACAUGCAAGUCGAACGGCAGCACAGGAGAGCUUGCUCUCUGGGUGGCGAGUGGCGGACGGGUGAGGAAUACAUCGGAAUCUACUCUGUCGUGGGGGAUAACGUAGGGAAACUUACGCUAAUACCGCAUACGACCUACGGGUGAAAGCAGGGGAUCUUCGGACCUUGCGCGAUUGAAUGAGCCGAUGUCGGAUUAGCUAGUUGGCGGGGUAAAGGCCCACCAAGGCGACGAUCCGUAGCUGGUCUGAGAGGAUGAUCAGCCACACUGGAACUGAGACACGGUCCAGACUCCUACGGGAGGCAGCAGUGGGGAAUAUUGGACAAUGGGCGCAAGCCUGAUCCAGCCAUACCGCGUGGGUGAAGAAGGCCUCCGGAUUGUAAAGCCCUUUUGUUGGGAAAGAAAUCCAGCUGGCUAAUACCCGGUUGGGAUGACGGUACCCAAAGAAUAAGCACCGGCUAACUUCGUGCCAGCCGCCGCCGUAA